ensembl:lincRNA
GUACAGAUCAAACUAGUACAAACGUACAGGGGGAAGCGCACUGUUACCACAAUAAAGAGAAUAUUACACAACAGUACAGGAGUUCAACAGGAGACUUCUAGUGUUACAAUAGAACGAAAGGUUAGGACACAGGUCACCCUACUACAACAGCACAGGUACAGAGUUCAGGACACAGGUCACCCUACUCCAACAGCACAGGUACAGAGUUCAGGACACAGGUCACCCUACUACAUCAGCACAGGCCACUAUUACAACAGAGUAGGUACAGUGCUCAGGCCACAAGGAAGAGGGGUACAAUGGCACAGGUACAGAGUUCAGGACACAGGUCACAGUACUACAACAGUACAGGUACAGAGUUCAGGAUACAAGACAGGGGUAUUUAGAGUACAGUGUUACAACAGUACAGGUACAAAGUUCAGUACACAAGGCAGAGGGGUACAAUGGUACAGCGUUCAGGACACACGUCACAGUAUUACAACAGUACAGGUACAGAGGUCAGUACACAAGGCAGAGAGGUACAAUGGUACAGGGUUCAGGACAGAUCACAGUAUUACAACAGUACAGAUACAAAGUUCAGUAUUCAAUGGCACAGGUACAGAGCUCAAGGCACACAUCACAGUAUUACAACAGUACAGGUACAGAGUUCAGUACACAAGGCAAAAGGGUACAAUGGUAAAGGUACAAAGAUCCGGACACAGAUUACAGUAUUACAGCAGUACAGAUACAAAGUUCAGUAUUCAAUGGCACAGGUAGACUUCAAGGCACACAUCACAGUAUUACAACAGUACAGGUACAGAGUUCAGGACACAAGGUAGAGGGGUACAUUGGUACAGGGUUCAGGACAGGUCACAGUAUUACAACAGUACAGGUACAGAGUUCACUAUGUAAGGUAGAGGGAUACAAUGGUACAGGUACAGAAUUCACUACAGCAGGCAGAGUUCACUGCAUAGUUCUGAUCAUAACAGAAGAGGUAAGUUCAGUCUCCCUGUUUGAGUAUUAGAACAGAACAGGCAGAGUCCAGCACACCGCUCUGGGAAAUACAGUACAAUAGGACAGGCACAUACUUCUGAAAUUACAAAAGUGCACGUGAGACUUCAGUAUUACAAUAAAGGUGAGAGCUCAGUGAACAAGUCUGAGUGUUUUAACUGUGCAGGUGAAGAGCUCAGUACACGUCUGAGAAUUAAAGCUCAGUACAGGUGAGUCUUCAUCAUAGAGAUGUUACUGUAACAGCAACAACUUUCCAAAGUUAUACUGAAUCAGGAAGGAUGAGUACGUUUAAAACCACAAUGAAACUAGCGAAUAUGCAGCCUCCACAUCGCAACAGCGAUGAAGUUUCAAUGUGCAACACCAUACUGCCAGCAUUUCAGAACGAGGCAACAAAACAGACGCAAAAGCAGCCCUCUUGCACUGCAAACAUGCUCUAAACCAGGAGAUUUGUGCUACUAGGUUCACGUUAGAUACACGAAACAGACAUAUACAGUACAGCAACAUGUUUUUAAGAUGCUUUUUCCCCCAAGAACAGCAGAAAAGCAUUCUGCCAACCAAAUAAAAUACACUCCUUUGUUUUCAAGUCUUGCAAGAGUAUUCCAUUUCCACUGGUGGUUAUUCUAUGGAAGAUCACACAUGAGAGACAUUCCUGCAGGUCUUAUAUUUCUGGAGGACAUGCUGUGUCACAGGCUGUGUUUGUGAUCUGAACGAGUGCAGGUGAACAGAAUUCAACAGCUCGAUUUCAAGACUGUUCUACCCACAAACACUACUUACUUGUCAGCUCAGCACACAGAUGUUGAACAGUUCUGGGUGAAAUGUGCUGCACAACCUGUGCUUGCUGGAUGGGACUUGUGGAGGAGACCCACAUCAGUGCCCGUGUUUAUGACCCGUCUCCUUCCUGGCUGAUCCCUUGGAGAAGGAG